UGCCUGCCGUUGAUGGUGUUAAAUAUACUAUGAGAGUUGUAUCUUUGAAAAUGAAAUCAAAACUGAGGCAUU
rfam:Cephalotus follicularis DNA, scaffold: scaffold409, isolate: St1.